AGUUAAUUUAGUUAAAUUUCAUAAUACUCCCUAAAUUGGUGGACUAACCACUAUAAAAUCGAUAUUCUCUAGAGAAACAGAUACAACAACGGUUCCCAACCUCUUUGACCUUCAUCAUAUGUUAGUGAAUUAUGCAACUAUGCAUUAAAACAAAAUUUUCUUAUUUUUGAAUUUUUCUCAAAAUCUAUGUGUUAACCCCUACGAAAAUAUUGAAUUUUUCGGUUAACGAUCUAUAUAUUAAAGCCUAAGAUCUUUAGUACUGUUUUAAAAUUUCCAACCACAUUCUACAUUUGUAGUAAUGUAUCUUAAACUCUCUUUUAUGGUACAUGAGCAUCGUUUUAAUUUUUUAUCAAUUAAUUUAGUAAAACUUCAUAAUACUCCCUAAAUUGGUGGACUAACCACUAUAAAAUCGAUAUUCUCUACAGAAAGGGAGACAACAAAGGUUAACCUCUUUGACUUUCAUCAUAUGUUAGUGAAUGAUGAAACUAUGCAUUAAAACAUAAUUUUUUUAUUUUUAAGUUUUUCUCCAAAAUCUAUGUGUUAACCCCUACGAAAAUAUUGAAUUUUUCGGUAAAUGCUCUAUAUAUUGAAGCCUAAGAUCUUUAGUACUGUUUUAAAAUUUUCAAACACAUUCUACAUUUGUAGUAAUGUAUAUUAGACUCUCUUUUAUGAUAUAUGAUCAUCGUUUUAAUUUUUUGUCAAUUAAUUUAGUAAAACUUCAUAAUACUCCCUAAAUUGGUAGACUAACCACUGUAAAAUCGCUAUUCCCUAGAAACAACGGAGACA